ensembl:lncRNA
GAGUGCCAAAUGCUGCCGGCGGGAGAGCUCACAACCGCUGUCCAUCCUUGAGCGUCGUUCUCCGGCGGUUUCUGAGCCAGCGGUCUCAGUCAGGGAGGAGGGCACGGCUUUCAGCUCGAUUCGUUUUCCCACGGAAUUAUCCUGGGAAGAUCGACAGGACCUUCCGCCCCCCGCCUUUCUUUUUAAAAUGAGCCCUUUGCAGAGCAGAGCGCCUGUGUCUCCGACUUCUAACUACCCUCCUUGUUGCUGGGAACAAAUGCCUAGAGACACCUCGACGCUCAGAGACCUUGGAGGGAGUCCCUGGGGACCACUACUGCUUCCAAUCAAAGCUGGAGAAUCUAAGAUAAUUAGAGACAUCGCCUGGGAGACCUCUCUUGGGAAAACAAAGCAAGCUGUCCCCAUGAAGUGCAGCACACCAGGCCUCCCUGUCCAUCACCAACUCCCGGAGUCCACCCAAACCCAUGUCCAUCAAGUCGGUGAUGCCAUCCAAGCAUCUCAUCCUCUGUCGUCCCCUUCUCCUCCUGCCCUCAAUCUUUCCCAGCAUCAGAGUCUCUUCAAAUGAGUCAGCUCUUCGCAUCAGGUGGCCAAAGUACUGGAGUUUCAGCUUUAACAUCAGUC